rnacentral:sRNA from 1 species
AAGAAAGAAAAAAAGUCUUAUAAACUCCCGCCCUACAAAACCAGCACAAAGGCUGUGGGUACAGAGAGACAAGGACAGAAGUGCCCAGGAGGAGCGUAGGUUUGCAAGUUAAGUCACAGCACCUGUAGGAAACCAAUGGGGUUUGCCCUGUGUUUAUUUUACUCUAAGACAACCAGGUAGUCAAAGCCUUCAGCCUUGUGGACAGGAAGUAAAGCCAGGGCUGUAUUUCAUUAUUCUGUCACCUCUGGCCUUGCAGAGAUUUCGAGCUGGGAAUGCAAAACAGUUUGUUUUCACAGGACUUCACAGAACGAUGUCUGGCAGGCUUCAAGCUCACAGAGAUCCACCUGUCUCUGCCUCCCUAGUGCUGGAACUAAAUGAGAGUCCCGGCCCUCUCCCAGCUGAAAUUCAUCAGCACAUUAACCCAGUGGCUCACAGAAAGGAGCAACAGUGAUUCGCCCGAGGUCACAGUUUUUGUAAGUCCAUCCAGAAUUUCAACCUGGGACUAUCUGUUCUGUGCAGGCAGCUGACUCACUCGUGUAACCCCAGUCCUGGGAGAGUAAGGCAGAAGAGGGAUUGCCACUGCUCUAAGACUAGCCUGGGCUACAUAGUAAGACAUUUAAUAUUAUUUACAAAAGAACGAUAUUCAGAUGGACAGAACGAAAAGCAACCAAAGAAGAGGCUCAAUGGGUUGGAGAGUCGGCUCAGUGAUGAGGAGAAAUUGCUGUUGCCAAGGACCCAGGUUUGGUUUCCCAGCACCCACACGGAGUGCCAUACGUCCGCAGGCACCAGGCACAGGGGUGAGACCAUGCCUCUUGGUGCUUUGACACGUUCCUUGCUUGAUCUUUGUAAUGGCAUUGUACAGGACACAGGGCAAGCAAGACUCUCAGAGUUUUAGACUUAAAGGGGACUCUAAACAGUUCCCUUAUUUUGGUUCCCAGACACGCCCUCAGAUAACCAGCUAAUAUCUGGUUGGAGCCAUUCCUGAACUCGCUCUGAUGAUUGUGGUGCCUGUUUUCAAGGUUUCAUCACAGGCACCUAGAACAAAGGCCGAUAAGAAGGGACUCCUGUGUAAAAUACUCCUCUGGAACCCCAUGGUUCCCGCUGAUGAGGGGCCGAAGUCCCAGAGCUCAGCUGAUCUUCCUGCCUCUGCCUCUUGUGUGCCAGGAUGGCCACUGCACCAGGCUGGCUUGAGACUUGAGAAAGAUUCUCGUAAGUCAGCUUUAUCGGUUUGGCUUCACUCUCCGUCCUUUCCUGAGAAGGCGGUGGUUCUCAGCCUUCCUAAUGCUUGACCCUUUAAUACAA